rnacentral:lncRNA from 1 species
CACUGGACUAUAACUUAUCAAAUGUAUUGAUCUUAGAUCACUGAUGAUCAGAUCUCCAAAAGAUUAAGAUCACUGAUGAUCUUAGAUCAUCGUGAUGAUCCCAUUUGGAUCACCAAAUGCUACCUAAGUAUCAAUAUCUUUUCCUCCCACUUUUUCCUCCAUAAAUUAUUGUUAUUGAUUUUUUUGUUUUGAAAUUUCUUGUGUUAUCCCGUUGGAAUCCGCCACUAUCUGCCAAGAUCCAUCACCUCCAUUGCUCGUUGGUUAGCCUCUCACCCUCAUGCUACCAUCUUUGGCUGAGAAAGCU